rnacentral:rRNA from 1 species
AUGGGAGGCGCAAGGUGGUGCCUUGGUGCUGAACUCUGGACGCCCAAGGUCAAGGUACACUCCUCGGCCUCCUGUUCGUCGCAGCAGCGGCUACUCCUACAAGACACGCCGGCCGCCGGUGCUCCUCCGGCUGCGGCGGCGGCCGGCGAAGGCCAAGUCGUCAAAGACCAAGGGGAAGGGGAAGAGCACAGGAGCCAGCAGAGGGAGGUGUUCACCAUCUGGAUGAAGUCGCUGGUGCUCAACGGGAGCGGCUGCACGGUCUUCGACUCCCGCGGCCGCAUCGUCUACCGCGUCGACAACUACGGCUCCCACCGCUCCGUGGACGUGUGCCUCAUGGACAUCACGGGGAGCGUGGUGCUCCAGGUCCUCAAGAAGUUCCGGAGGUGGGAGGGGUACAGGUGCGGCGGGUGGGAGGAGCCCGACCAGAGUGCGCCGUGGUUCACGGUGGUAAGCAACAAGUGGGGCCGCGGGCCGCGCUGCGAGUUCAGGAGCGACGGCCACGCGGUGCGCUACAAGAUGGACGGCGGCAGGCGGCGGCAGCAGGCGGCGCGCGCCUCGUGGAUCGUGGACGACGCCACCGGGCUGGCGGUGGCGGAGGUGAAGAGGAAGCUGACGGCGACGGGGGUGUCCCUGGGCGAGGACGUGCUGACGCUGGUGGUGGAGCCCAACGUGGACCACUCGCUCAUCAUGGGGCUCCUUGUGGUGCAUGGCCUCAUAAACCACUCCAUGUGA